AGUGGGUCACUCCACUCAAAAGAGACCAUUAAGAGUGACGCGUUGGUGAGAGUAAUCUCACCAGGUUGGU
rnacentral:ribozyme from 1 species